UUUUUUUUUUUUUUUUUUUUUUUCCUUUUAGUGUCUACUUUGGCAUAACACUAAAUAGGAAAAAAAAAUCGCCAGGAUUUUAAGCUUGGCUAUGACAUUCAGACUUCCAUUAUUUCCUCCUCAGAAAAUGAAACUAGCUUAAUCUGUGUGUGCCUGCCAGUAAUGUGAUCAUGGUAAUGAGAAAGCUUUUUAAGCAAAUAAUCCAUGUGGUUUUGAUAAGUAAACAACAAAUAAACUGGUAAGAAGCUCCUUUGACUUUCAGGAAAGGUGAGAUGUUAUAGGUUCAUUAAUAUGUAAAGGGUAGUAUGUAGAUCUCAAUGAAAGUGACAAACAAGUGCCACAGUGGGUAUUGCUGAACACAGGAAAUGGUUGGUUUGAGCUAAUAUAUACUUUUGGCACUACUUCAUCUUAAAAUCAUACAUAGCAUCUAGCACCAGCAGGUUGGUUUUAUAGCUUCAUCUAUUACUUUACUGUCACUGUUAAUUGUCUUCUUUUACCUCUGCAGUAUUCUACAAAUUGGGCCUAUCCAAAGUGACAGGAGGAAGAACAUUAAGCAUCUGACAAGAUGAUAUCUAAGUUCAAUUUCCUACUCUUUACCUGAUUUAUACCUGCAGAAGAUAAUUUUCCUUUCUGUCAUAAACAGCCCUAUAAAUCAGCAGUGCUUAUGGAACCACUGCAUAGAGAGCCCCCAGCUUUGUAUCCUCUGUGUUUCCUAUUAGGAAGCCAUUACUGCAGAAUUUUCCUCCUUCAAACAAAAAUGAUGAAAUUUAAUACCACUGAGAUUACAAAGAUUAAGAGCUGAAGUACUGCUGAGGCUUUUCAAUUGAAGCAGCUAUCUGAGCAAUCUUUGCAAAACUCAAUAAAAACAGGGUUUCUGCCUUUGACAUCAUUAUCCAUCUGCUUGGAUGAAAUUGCUGUAUCAUGGUAUAAAUCUGUGAUACAAGUGACAUAACCUCUGAAAUAAAAGGGAACAUUAACUGCUCUAUCUUCUAGAGGCCCUGGGACAGGCUGGCUAUAAGCUCACUCAAGUGUGAUGGCAGUUAUUCUGUGUUUUACUAGACUGCAGACAAUUAUCCUUUGCUCUCCUCCCCUCUUAUGACAAACUGCCAGAGCUUCUGCUGAAAUGAUCUCAAAUAGAUUUUCUAAAAUGCUUAGUACUAGAUUGCCUCCAUACAUUAUUUCUUUUCAAUGGGCUGAAAAUAAAAACCUAAUCCACAAAUCAAUUGCUGCAUCUAUCAGAUGCACAUUGGUGCACAUUUUAUUUUGUUCUAUCAAGGUUUUAUACAGCUUAUAUCCUCUCUACAGCAUCUUACAUAGAUGUACAUGGUGCAGAGAGGAUAUUUAUACUGGGGGUUCAAUGGGAGUCAAGAGACAUUUAGCCUUAUAAAAGGAAAAUAUUUUGGCUGGGCUUUAGAAUGAUGAUAAUGUGAAACAUGACUACUGCUCCCUGGUUACAUUUUUUUUUUUUCUCUUGCUGGAGUAUUUGUAGUGUCCCUCAUGGACCCAAGUGCUACCCCAGUACAAUCCACAUGGAGUUAUAGGAGGGGAAAUACUUAUGUGGGAGCCCUGGAGCCAACCUGGGCGUGGAAACCUGUGUGGAACUUCUGAAGCAGCCCCCAGCUGUGGCAGAGCAGCUUUGAUGCUGUCCUUGUGGUGGAGGACAGCUCUCCUACCUGUCCUGCAGAGCUGGCAAGGGCUUGCUAGCUUUCAUUGGGGUACUGGCAGCAAACAGUGCUGUGUUUGUUACAGGAGAUGGCACGGGGAAGCCCAAAGAGGUGUGUGAAGGACUGGAUCUCAUCACACGGCCACGGGGCUCAUGUGAAGCUUCACGUGCAAGAGGAAGGGUGGGUCUCUGGCUGGCAAACACCUGUGACUUGCCUGCCUUCUCCUGAAGGUUGCUGGCACAUGGGAGAAAUGUGUGUUUGCACUGGGACAUUUCUGUGGUGGCCAAGAGGAGUGUGGUGUGGGCAUCUUACCCCAUCCUGGCUCGAGAGGACGGAGCUUUAGCCCUCAAAAUGAUUCUCCUGAGACCCAUGCUGAGGCAGGGUGAGGGGUGUCAGGGAGAAGCCAACAGUGUUUAUGUAGAGACACAAAUGGUGGCACUCAGCCCUGGGUGGACGUGAGUGUGAUGCUGUGAAUGCCAGUGGCAUGGGACAGCCCUUUUCAGACAGGGAUGCCUUGCUUUUGGCAGCACUGCCUGUGUUGCAUCUCCUGGUAAAGGAGCUGAGGCUGUGUCCUGGGAGCCCUCCACAGCCUGGGCCUUGGCCCUGGGAGCAGGUAGCUGCCCACCCAGGCAUACUUUUCAAAACCAUUGAUCUGCACAUUUUCUAUUUAAAAGGGACCGUGCCAGUCAAAAAGCCAGAGAUGGCUGAAACAUUUUUACUGGAAAACUAUCCUGUUAUUCCUCAGAAUGUUUCACAGUAGCAUUUCCCACUUCACUGAUGUUUUCUGGCAGGAACAAGACUGGAAUACUUUAUUGGGGGAGUACUGAAAUAUGUAAUUAGGGUUGGUAUUUAUACAUAAUGUUCUAAAUGACAAGAAUUGAAAUAAAAUUAUGUUAUUAAAGCAAAAGGGUUGCAGCAUUUUAAGAUGUGAUAUAGCAGUUCCAAAUCAAUAUGCCUUUUUAAUGUGGGAAAUUUCAAAUUUUUUGUCUUGCCAGAAGAGUGCUUCUUUUUAAUGCCAGAAUGUUGCUUGGAACUGUAAUUCAUGCUCUUCAGCUCUGUCCUUUCCCUGGCGUUUAGCAUCGUUAAUUGUAACAAAGGAAAGUAAUUAACCCUCUUCACUUGAACAUUGGGAACAAAGGAAUGGCCAUAAACUGGAUCAUAGCUGAGCCAGACCAAAUGAGCUUUUUCAUCUUGGCUGGGGCUAAAGGCUGGGAGGGGUGACAGAGCCCCUUUGCUCUGAGCUAGUUAACGCUGGGGAACGAAAUGGCAGCAGCCACCGGGACACAACAGGUCACCUCUCAGCUAAAGACUGAUGGAAAACCCAACCGAGCCGGGCUUCAAUUCCGUAAGUAGCCCUGAGAGCCGGGCGCCCCAGAGCCAUAGGUUGCUUGUAAUAGCAGAGGAGAUCUCAUUACCCACGCUGUCUUGUGUGCACAUUCUCUCUCUCCCCCAGAUACAGAUGUACUGUAACACACACUCUUGUCUGUCUCGUUCAAUUAGGAGAAGGUCAUAAUGGCUUGCUUACUAUAUUUAGAAUAUUUUAGUCAGUAGAUGUAAAUAUACAGCAAGGCAGAAAGGUAAUGAUUUCAGAAGGGCAUGAUUUAUAAGUGAAUUCAUCAACCCAAAAAGUACCUAUAUUUUGGAAACAGCACUAUUGUUACCUUAUUUUUUUUUUUUCCUGGAUGUAAUUCUAAUAGCAGCUUGGAUAUACCCAUCAGGACAAUGCUUUACUUACCUGUUUCCUUUUGAAUAUAAUAUAUCC
rnacentral:lncRNA from 1 species